ACCCACCACAGAAGGUAAUAGUCCUGUAUGUUAAACGAGAAGACUUUAGAUAUGAUCCAGAGUACCACGGGACACGUGAAACCCUGUGGGAAGCAGGAGGGACCACCCUCCAAGGCUAAAUACUACCUAGUGACCGAUAGCGUAUAGUACCGUGAGGGAAAGGUGAAAAGAACCCCGGGAGGGGAGUGAAAUAGAACCUGAAACCCUGCACUUACAAGCUGUGGAAGCACAUUUCUUGUGUGACCGCGUACUUUUUGUAGAACGGGCCAACGAGUUACGUUAAGUAGCAAGGUUAAGCACUUAAGGUGCGGAGCCGUAGCGAAAGCGAGUUUUAACUGAGCGUUCAGUUACUUGACGUAGACCCGAAACCGGGCGACCUACCCAUGAGCAGGAUGAAGCGAAAGUAAAAUUUCGUGGAGGUCCGAACCCACGAGCGUUGAAAAGCUCGGGGAUGACUUGUGGGUAGCGGUGAAAUUCCAAUCGAGCCCGGAGAUAGCUGGUUCUCCCCGAAAUAGCUUUAGGGCUAGCCUCAAGGUGAGAGAUACGGAGGUAGAGCACUGAAUGUCCUAGGGGGUAUUGCACCUACCGAAGACUAUCAAACUCCGAAUGCCGUCAUCUUAUACUUGGGAGUCAGACUGUGGGUGAUAAGAUUCAUAGUCGAAAGGGCAACAGCCCAGAUCGUCAGCUAAGGUCCCUAAAUGUAAGUUAAGUGGUAAAGGAUGUGGGAUUGCACAGACAACCAGGAUGUUGGCUUAGAAGCAGCCACUCAUUCAAAGAGUGCGUAAUAGCUCACUGGUCGAGUGAUCCUGCGCCGAAGAUUUCCGGGGCUAAAACUUACUACCGAAGCUACGGCAUCAGUAAUGAUGGGUAGGGGAGCUUCCCAUACGGGUUGAAGCAUGACCGUAAGGACAUGUGGACAGUAUGGGAGUGAGAAUGUUGGCAUGAGUAGCGAGAUGUGGGUGAGAAUCCCACAGGCCGUAAACCCAAGGUUUCCAGGGGAAGGUUCGUCCGCCCUGGGUUAGUCGGGACCUAAGCUGAGGCCGAAAGGCGUAGGUGAUGGACAACAGGUUGAUAUUCCUGUACUACCGAUAACCGUUUGAGAGAAGGGAUGACACAGUAGGAUAAGCUAAGCACACUGUUGGUUAUGUGUGCCCAAGCAUUGAGGCAGUCAAAGUAGGCAAAUCCGCUUUGAUAAUGCUGGGAUGUGAUGGGGAGCGAAAUUUAGUAGCGAAGUAGCUGAUUUCACACUGUCAAGAAAAGUCUCUAUCGAGGUUAAAGGUACCCGUACCGCAAACCGACACAGGUGGGUGAGGAGAGUAUCCUAAGGCCAGCGAGAGAACUGUUGUUAAGGAACUCGGCAAAAUGACCCCGUAACUUAGGGAUAAGGGGUGCCACCAUCAGGUGGCCGCAGAGAAUAGGCCCAAGCGACUGUUUACCAAAAACAUAGGUUUCUGCUAAGUCGCAAGACGAUGUAUAGGAGCUGACGCCUGCCCGGUGCUGGAAGGUUAAGGGGAUCUGUUAGAGCAAUCGAAGCAGUGAACUUAAGCCCCAGUAAACGGCGGCCGUAACUAUAACGGUCCUAAGGUAGCGAAAUUCCUUGUCGGGUAAGUUCCGACCCGCACGAAAGGCGUAACGAUUUGGGCACUGUCUCAACAACAGACUCGGUGAAAUUGUAAUUCCGGUGAAGAUGCCGGAUACCUGCGACAGGACGGAAAGACCCCAUGGAGCUUUACUGUAGCUUGACAUUGGGUCUUGGUACUACAUGUACAGGAUAGGUGGGAGGCUUUGAAACCAGGACGCCAGUUUUGGCGGAGCCAUCCUUGGGAUACCACCCUUGUAGUACUGGGACUCUAACCAUAGGCCAUGAAUCUGGUCUUGGGACACUGUCAGGUGGGCAGUUUGACUGGGGCGGUCGCCUCCCAAAAGGUAACGGAGGCGCUCAAAGGUUCUCUCAGUACGGUCGGAAAUCGUACGUAGAGUGUAAAGGCAAAAGAGAGCUUGAUUGCAAGACAUACAGGUCGAGCAAGGAUGAA
rnacentral:rRNA from 1 species